rnacentral:rRNA from 1 species
GACGUAGGGCGCGAGCGUUGUCCGGAUUUAUUGGGCGUAAAGAGCUCGUAGGCGGCUUGUCGCGUCGACUGUGAAAACCCGCGGCUCAACUGUGGGCUUGCGGUCGAUACGGGCAUCACUGGAGUUCGGCAGGGGAGACUGGAAUUCCUGGUGUAGCGGUGAAAUGCGCAGAUAUCAGGAGGAACACCGGUGGCGAAGGCGGGUCUCUGGGCCGAUACUGACGCUGAGGAGCGAAAGCCAGGGGAGCAAACGGG